rnacentral:lncRNA from 1 species
UUGCACAAAAAAUAACAAAAGGCUUUAAAGAAUGCCAUACAACAGGACGGGACCUUGAAAUCCUUCUGGUCCAGUUUCCUAAGACAGCGAAAAUAGCAAUGAAGGUGCAGUCGUCUCUUAAUAUCCUACUAAAACCCUCAGACGCUCAAAUUUCCUAUGUAUAAAUUGGCACAGCGUUGCAUAGAACCUCCACACGUCUGCAGGACACUUUAAAUCAUCUCUAGGUUACUUACAGCACCUAGUGUAAUGCACAUGCUGUAUCAUAGGGUGUUGUGCUGUAUUGCUUAGGGAAUAAUGACAAUAAAAAGUCUAGAUGUGUCUGCUAUAGGCAUGAUUUUUCUCCCCCCAAAUACCCUUGAUCUGUGAUUGGUUGAAUCUGUAAGCGCAGAACCCUCAGACACCAGGGCCAGCUUGAAUUUCCUCCUUUACUCUGAAUGAAGAUUUGGUGUCAAACCCAAGAUCCCUUAAAGAAAGACAGAAGCUUCAACUUGAGCUCUCUUUGGCCCUCAGGAAUCUCUAAUUUUGCAGCAGGUGCAGUAACUGGGGUGCAAAUAGUUGAUGAAGAGGAAGUUUUCUUCCUUUUCAAGAUGCAACUGGGUAACAAUCCCAGGGAUUAGUCAGGAAGGAUCUAGCUAAUUCCGUGGUCAAAAACUUCUCCCACUUUUCCGGCACAUUUUGGAAAAAUGACUAAAAUGUUCUGUACAUCCAUUUUCCCAAGUAGAAAUUCAGAAAAAAAUUAUUUCAACCUAUUUUAUAGAAGGAUUGGAAGGAUAACACAACCCGGGAUUAGAUGGAAGAAACUCUUGGCUCCGAUGGUCCUGUCCUGGGGAAGAUGGCCGGGCCCCAGGGAAGCCCAUGUUGUGUAAGUUGUGCCUCUAGGACAACUGGUCUGAUUAGAAUCUAUUAUCAGGGCAUUGGUAAGUGUCCCACGUGGGCCCUGGAGUGAAAGUGUAAGGGGAGCGGGUGGCCUGUCCUCACCCCAGAGCCAAGCUCUCAGCCCUGUGGGCCUCAACUGGGCAGCCAAAGCCCCUGUCCUCUCUCAGCCCACCGCAGAAAGUCUUUUUAUUUUACCACACGCACAUUUUCUUCCCUCCCUCGGCAAUGACUCAGAGCACUUUACAGCUCGCAGUUUUAGGAAUGUUCUAGCUGUUUCUCAUUUUAGGGAGGGAGCAGGUUCUGGGGCUGAGCGCGACCUGAUCUUUCUGAGUCAGAUCUCCUCUCAAGCCAACCUCAGCCAGCUGUUGCCUAACGACACUUGUUGUGCGGACACCGGACACCCGUGAGGACAUACACAGACCCAGAGGAGGGGCCCGCAUCGCCUCUGGGUCGCAUGGUGUGGCCUGUUAUUAAAUUUUCUUCUCUUUCUACUUUUCAAACUUUUUUGUUAAAAACUAGGACACGGACCCCACAUGAGCCUGCGGCAGGAGCUUCCAUUCUGCUGUGCAUCUUGUCCCCCUGAAGGUCUGGGGGCAGCAACUUGCAGGGAGCUGCCACCUGUGACAGCGAUGCCCUCUCCUGAGGGAGACGCCUGCCCGACAGGUAGGUAGGUGUCCACUCUAGAACAACAAUCAAGGGCAAGUCAAUACAUCAACCAGCAACAGUCGUCGGUUUCCAUUUUCAAGUCUGACUUGAAAACGUGCCUGUACUUUACUGAAUGCCCUUCCGUGUGACUGGCAGUGCCAUGGGCUCACUUCACCAGGACCACCAGAGACCCGAGGAGGGAGUCAUGCUAAGACAUUGCAGUAGCCACGGCACCACCUGGCCUUGGGAACUUCCCAGCUCCUGUAUGACCUUAUGGACCCACAGUCCUAUCAUUGAACACAACGCCCAUAUGCAGUGCUGGACUGAGUGGCCCUGAGGGUCUCUGGUGGUCCCUGAUCACUUUUCCCACUGCAGGCCCAAAAUGUGCACUGGGCAUUCCUCCCUGGCCUUUGUUGUUUUUGUAGAAGGUUCUCAGCUGGCCCAGUGUAGCCACAUGGGCCAAAUGCCAGAGGGCCAAGCUCGGGACCUUCAGUCUGUGGACAGCAGAGAGCAAAGCCCGAAUCCACCACUGGCCAUAGAACUCGGCCAUUUCUCCCAUUAGCUUGUUCAGUCCUCCGGAGAGCCCAGGGAGGAGGCCCCUGACUCCCAUUCACAACCAAGGGGAAGGCGGACAACCAAGGGGAAGGGUAGCAACUUCUCCAGAUCCCCAGGCUUCUUGCUGUUCCCCCAGAGGCCACUUCAGAGACGUCAUCUUCCUGGCAGAUGAUCGGGCGAGGGCUCAGGGAGACGUCAGGCAGAUUCCUGACCCUGCAGGGUAAUCGGACUCGCCUGAAGGAGCGAGCAGACAGCACUUCGCAGGCCUCGGGCCUAAAGGUACAGUCAACAGGAUGCUGAGCCCUGGAGCCCUUGGACCUCAGGGUCUCCUGUGCCACUUGCUCCCUGUCUUGUGCCCAGGACAGAUGGGUCCGGCCAUCUGGGGGCUUCCUUUCUAAGAGUCUGAGCACAUCAGUGACUGAUGUUGCCUUGACUCUGGAUCCAGGGCCUCCCUCCCUGCCCCGGGUUUUAAAUUCCUCUUAGGAAGAACAGCUGGUCACUGCAGGGUCAUGUGACCCUUGAACACCUUAUGAGCAGAUUAGCAUCACAGUACAGACUGUGUCCUUCAUGGGAAAACUUGGGACCAGAGUGUUGUAGAGUUUGGAUUUUUUUUUUCCAGAUUUUAGAAAUGUUUGCAUGUACAUAAUGAGAUAUCUUGGGGAUAAAUGCAAACUUCAUUUAUGUUUCAUAUUAGUGUGUACACAUGGCCUGAAGGUAAUUUUAUACAAUGUUCUUACUAAUUCUGUUGCAUUCUGCAACCCAUCGCAGGAGGUCAGGUGUGGAGUUUUCCACUUGUCGGGUCCAUGAUUCAAGAGUUUCAGAUUUGGGGCUUGUGCUAAGGAUGCUCAAGGUCUACAGAGGAACAAGCAGAGCAGUCAGAUGCCUGGGCCCGAAUCCUGACUCCCUCGCACACACCAGCAGUGUGAACACAGGCGGGUCCUUUGCUGCUUCCUGCCUCGGUUUCCUCAUCUGUAAAAGGACAGGGAUAGCAGUGCCGUCUUGCAGGGCUGUUUGAAGAUUCGAUGAGUGCUUGCGCAUGGAGGCGCAUGGAGCCGCGUGGGGGCAGGAGUUGGCACCAUCUUUGAUCUGUACACAUCUCUUGCAGCACUGGGCAGAGCCCCCCUGAAGGGACCUCAGGAGGACCUCGUGCAGGCUGGGGACAUUCUGUCUUCUGAGUCGAGCUGCUCUGUCUAAGAAAAUUCUUCCUACGUUUUGCCAAAAGUCGCCUCCCUGCAACUCCUCCUCGUGGGUCCUGGUUCUGUCAGAAGCAAAUGUCAAACAACAGUCCUGAAGGAGAAGACCUGGGACAUCAGUAGUCCCGAUGGAACUGGGCUGGGUGACGGCAUCUCCUGCAGCGGCCAUCCCCGUGGCUCUUAGCCCCAGAGCCAGGCCCGGACUGAAGUCAAGGAUCUUUCAGUGAAAUUUGAAAAACCAAAAAGUUCUCAGUUCUUGGAUGCUUCUAUUAGCAAAGCAUAAAACAGCUUCUUUCUCCACUCUUUCAGCCCAGAGCGUGCUGCCAGACUGGCAGGAGGCCAAGGGGAAAGGCACUCUCCUUGUGCAAAGAUGACAGUCACACGGCUCUGGAGCCAUGACCUCACCUCAGUUAAUACGUGCUGUCCGGCCUGUAAUCACUGAGCAUCCAGGGAGUGGGCCAGCGAGGUAGCCACCCGCGUCAGGCCUCCUGUUUACAGAGCCUUUCUGGCGUCAGGUGUAAAAUCAUGACCCGCGAGUCCCCUUCCUGCCUCGCCUGGCAGCCCUUUGGAAGCUGGCGUGUGCGCUGUGACACAGGAGGAAUGCACCCGUCUUUUUUUAGAUUGAUAGCUUGGCUCUCUGAUGACUCCUGUUAAAAACAACUUGUACACUUGAAGUUCACAGCAUCAGAGUGGGGAACCUGCAUCAGGUGCCUUCGGGCCGGGCAGGGGGAGUUUGGUCUCCGGAGUGUGGGCAAAAGAACGGUUGCAUUAUUUUUCUAAAUCAGAGGUCAUCUGGCAAUAUCAGUCACUAUUUGGUUACUUUGUCCAUCCAGCUGCUCAUCCAAGAGGAAGCAUACUUUGGGGCACUGUGGCCAGGCCUCUGCUGCCCUGGCUUCUGGGGCCGAGCACUGCUGUAGCUGAGGGUCCCAUGGAUCUCAGGCUCUUGCGAGUGCUCCAAGGACUUGGCCCCAGAAAUGCCCCUCCCUGGGUCAAGAACCCACAGGUGUCUGCAGCCUCUGUCUUUCCCCGCCCAGGUGCCGUGUGCAGAAAGGCCUCGCUCCAGUCCUGGUGUGCCCCCCACCCUUUUCCCCUCAGGCAUGCAGAAGCACUCUGCCAAGGCUGCCCCUGCCACUUUGCAUGAGCCUCCCUUCCUCCCUCCCUCACCAAGGGACAGUCCGAUGACAGCAGUCCUCCCUUCUUCAAGGGGGAUGUAUUUCAAGAGCCCAGACGAUGCCUGAACCCGGGAAUAGUACCAAACCCGGGACCUACUGUUUUUCCCCAGACGCUUAGACCCACAAGAGUUUAGGGCCGAUUCCAUCCUGACCAAACCCUACCCCAUACGAUGGCUACAGCGUUCGCAGCGUGAGGUGGGACAGCGACGGGGCGUGGGUUUCUUCCCCUUCUUCACCGCAUCAUGGACAGACAGACGCUCCUUCUUACCCACAGAUCUUUGCAACUUCAGUUCAUGGUUUGUUUCCUUCUUAAGUCAAGAACUUUCCCUUUUCCUCUCACAGGAAGCGCUUCAUGGCCUAUCUGACUGCCAGCGUCCCUGCUCUUGUGCUCAGGGGCCAUGAUUAAGUAAAAUAAAGGCCGCCUGAACACAGGCACUGUGAUCUGAUAACAGGGAUGGCUGGGAGGUGACUAAGGGCGGGUGAGGUCCUCGGUGCCAAUGUCCAGGACGGUGUUCCUGGUGUGCGACUUGGGUGGAUGGAGCCCAGUGCGAUUUAAAAUGUAGGCACUGCUUACUCCUGGAGUUUUUCCCUUCACAUUUCAAGGAUGAAGCAGGUCACUGAAAGCUCAGAAGGGAAAUGGGGGAAGGGCCCAGAAAAGAGACCCCAGAACUCUCAAAAUGGGGAGGCGCCCGUGGGAAAGGAAGCCGAGUGCUUCUCCCUGAUGCGGGGCAGGACCACGGCCAGCCACACACCCGAGACACAGCCCGGGCUUCCCAAGCCCUGCCCUGGUGACCUGGUUUCAUGUACAUCACUGAAUCCUGUCAGGUGCUCCAAGUCCAGGUUAUCAGCCCAUCUCUGGGUCCCAGGGUCAACCAAGGUCGCCUGAGCAUCUCUUCUCAGCAGCAGGUUCUGAAGGCUCCAUUCCCACAAAGUUGGUCAGCUGGGGACCAGCAGCUGCCAUUCCUAUUCCUCUAUGUGCAGGGAGGGGUCAGGCAUGAGACCCAGGCAGGGACAGCUUGGCCUCCAUUCUUUAGAAAGAAAGCAUUGUUUUUGAUCCAGACAGAUUUUAUGUUUUCUGCAUUUUAAAUAUUAGCUAGUGCUAGUCCCUCAUCACUUGACCUCAGGCAUCAGGGCGGCCUUGUACCCUGAGACCUCUUUUGUGAAUCUGGGGACCUGCCUCCCAGGGCUGUCCUCCCCGGGCCUCUGGGACACAGAGGUAUUGUGUUUUCUCUCCGGCUUCUCUGAACACUUCCUUGGUGGGCUAUCCCCGGCCACCUCUCCUCCCUCCUCCCCACAGGUGGACCGGUCCCAAGGUUCUGGCCUUGGACCUCCUGCUUCGGGUCAUAACUGCUCCCAGUUUACUGAGGGCAUGAACUCCCUCCUGAAUCAACAGAGGACACUGACUCACCAGCAGGGGACCUCCUGGGCAGCAGACCUCUCUACGGUGGAGUGGGUGGAGUGCCGUCUCUAUGCCCACAUCCCCCACAGAGCCAGGCACCUCUGACCUGUGCUGGCUGCACAUCACCCAGCACCCCCCUCCCCGACUCCUGCCCAGCCCCCUUCUCCGUCUUGCUCCCAAGUCACAGGAAGCUCUAGAAGACACAGGCCUGCAGUCACAGGCUCUAGCCACUCACCUCUCACUCCUUCCUGGCAGAACUCCCAGCUCCUGCUGUGGGAGGUCUUUAGAUGACCUCUGAUUCCUUGUCCAUCUUCCUUCUCAGGAACCCAUGCGGAAGCCAGGGGAACAGGCCUCCUGAGCCGCUUUCCAUUCUUGCCUCGUCUCAGGGGGAGGUCCCCCUUCUCUCCCCACAGGCCCUGCUGUCUGCCCUCCCAGGCCCUUGCCGACCGAGUGCCCUGAAUCUCUCUGGCCUCACUUCCUCCCCUGCACAGGGGAGCUAAUCGAACCAGUGUGGGCACUGGAGUAAAGAUGAGGGGACACGGUGAAACGUGUCACCUAGAACCUCAUGAAGUCAGUGCUCCCUCUCGGGAGGUGAUGGUGAUGGUGAGGAUGGUGAUGCCCAAAGUGGACUGUCCCUGAGAUGGAUCAACCUGAAGGUCUCCCCUUUGUCCCCACAAGGGGCCUCAGGUCCACCCACAGCUGGCUACACCAAGCCUGAGGCUUGACCUGUGCUCCCACACCUUCAUACACCCGAGGUCAGGUCAGAGCACUGCCGUGUCCUGGUGUUGGUUCUUCUACCCAUCCACAGUGUGCAGAAUGAAAGGUGGCCUGUCCAUCUCUAAUGCUGUGUUGGACCCCUCACCCUUGCUCUGUGCCCUCCCACUGCUGAGAGGUUCCCCAAUGCUCCUCCACCCUGAACUCCGCCAUCCCACAGUGUCCUGCCAGUGUCUCCCACGUGCCAGGCACAGUACUAGAUGCCCAUGUAGGAGCCGUUUACCGAGCACUCACUGCGCGCCAGGCACUGUCUUGAGCACGUCUCCGAGUGGACUCAUUAGCACAUGCUCAUUUACAUACAUUUUGCAUAUAUGGAAAUUUCAUCCUCCUAACAGAUCUGUUUACUCCUCAGAAAACUCCUGAGAGGCAGCUGCCAGAGGAUGGCCUUGUCACAGCCCAACUGAGAGGGUGAGGCUGCCCCGGGUGAUCCCGCCCCGCAGUACAGAGGCCGCCGUGGUGGCCCCGAUGCCCAGGCUCCGCAGCGGGCCACGCGCCGCAUCCCUGGAC